GGAACGAGAAAAAACCGUUACUAACGCAUGCGCAAUACGGUGCUGUCUGAGACAGAGAGUGAUUUGUUGAAAUUUAUGUUAGCUGAGCAGUGAGUGGAGUGGAGGUUAUGUUGUGAAUUGUGAAUAGAAUAUCUACAGCAAAAAUAAAUUUCAAGAUUAGAAUAAAUUGAUAUUUCAGAAAGGUUUUCCAAUUUGAUAAAAUAAUGUUUAGACGUCGUACCAUUGAAAUGUUAAUGGACAAGGGUUACAAAGGUUUUGUUCUUACUUCAGCGUCCGCUAGUGUGGUUGGUUUUCUUUAUCUGUUUUAUCAAGUAGGACAAAUCUAUUUUGUCGCAAGACCACAAAAUAUGAAAAUGUUGGAGAAUGAAUUGUUAUCUGAGGGGAGAGAUACUCAACAAGAAUUGAACAAACCUUAGUGUAAACUAUGACUGCAUCUUACCAUUGAUGACAACAGCCGAUGCAAUAAUUUGUCUGGUUGCAAUCGGUCAUCAGAGAGCAAUCGACGUCUGUGUAGCAUAUGCAUGCAGGAGCAACGCUAUCAUGUAUAUAUAUGUAGGUAGUAAAUUAUUAUUUGAGUUUGGUCUUUUGUUAAGUUAAUAAAUGCAUUGAUUGUAUUGGAUAUUCUAUCAUUCAUAAAAUAAAUUAAACCUACUAGACAAUAUUAAAUCAGUCUAUUGAUCAAAGUUUCAUAUAUUAUGUUUCUGUACUAAAUCUGUU